ACUCAAAGGAAUAGACGGGGACCCGCACAAGCGGUGGAUGAUGUGGAUUAAUUCGAUGCAACGCGAAAAACCUUACCUACCCUUGACAUGUACGGAAUCCCGCUGAGAGGUGGGAGUGCUCGAAAGAGAACCGUAACACAGGUGCUGCAUGGCUGUCGUCAGCUCGUGUCGUGAGAUGUUGGGUUAAGUCCCGCAACGAGCGCAACCCUUGUCCUUAGUUGCUACCCGCAAGGGAGCACUCUAGGGAGACUGCCGGUGACAAACCGGAGGAAGGUGGGGAUGACGUCAAGUCCUCAUGGCCCUUAUGGGUAGGGCUUCACACGUCAUACAAUGGUCGGUACAGAGGGUCGCCAACCCGCGAGGGGGAGCUAAUCUCAGAAAACCGAUCGUAGUCCGGAUUGUAGUCUGCAACUCGACUGCAUGAAGCUGGAAUCGCUAGUAAUCGCGGAUCAGCAUGUCGCGGUGAAUACGUUCCCGGGUCUUGUACACACCGCCCGU
rnacentral:rRNA from 1 species